GGAAAGGCGCGCGAUACAGGGUGACAGCCCCGUACACAAAAAUGCACAUGCUGUGAGCUCGAUGAGUAGGGCGGGACACGUGGUAUCCUGUCUGAAUAUGGGGGGACCAUCCUCCAAGGCUAAAUACUCCUGACUGACCGAUAGUGAACCAGUACCGUGAGGGAAAGGCGAAAAGAACCCCGGCGAGGGGAGUGAAAAAGAACCUGAAACCGUGUACGUACAAGCAGUGGGAGCACGCUUAGGCGUGUGACUGCGUACCUUUUGUAUAAUGGGUCAGCGACUUAUAUUCUGUAGCAAGGUUAACCGAAUAGGGGAGCCGAAGGGAAACCGAGUCUUAACUGGGCGUUAAGUUGCAGGGUAUAGACCCGAAACCCGGUGAUCUAGCCAUGGGCAGGUUGAAGGUUGGGUAACACUAACUGGAGGACCGAACCGACUAAUGUUGAAAAAUUAGCGGAUGACUUGUGGCUGGGGGUGAAAGGCCAAUCAAACCGGGAGAUAGCUGGUUCUCCCCGAAAGCUAUUUAGGUAGCGCCUCGUGAAUUCAUCUCCGGGGGUAGAGCACUGUUUCGGCAAGGGGGUCAUCCCGACUUACCAACCCGAUGCAAACUGCGAAUACCGGAGAAUGUUAUCACGGGAGACACACGGCGGGUGCUAACGUCCGU
rnacentral:rRNA from 1 species